rnacentral:rRNA from 1 species
UGCCAGCCGCCGCGGUAAUACGGAGGGUGCGAGCGUUAAUCGGAAUUACUGGGCGUAAAGCGCGCGUAGGCGGUUAAGUCAGUCAGAUGUGAAAGCCCCGGGCUCAACCUGGGAACUGCAUUUGAUACUGCUUAACUAGAGUAUGGUAGAGGAAAGUGGAAUUUCAGGUGUAGCGGUGAAAUGCGUAGAUAUCUGAAGGAACAUCAGUGGCGAAGGCGACUUUCUGGACCAAUACUGACGCUGAGGUGCGAAAGCGUGGGGAGCAAACAGGAUUAGAUA